rnacentral:rRNA from 1 species
AUGGCGGCUUGCCUCUCCCCCACGCUCCCUCGCCAGGCCAUCCACCGUCGCCGGUGCUGGACCCCCAAGCCUUCCUCCCCCCCCUCCACGGCCACCUACAACCAGCGCCACCGCUGCCGGAACAUCGGAACUAGCUCCGGCGCCAUCUCUGCCCGCGCCUCCCCUGCGGCCCCUGUCACCCAGGGCCUUGACGCCGAUGAUUUCCGCCACCCGCUCGACAAGCAGAACACUUUGCUGCUCAAAGCAAUUCCAGGGCUCAAUGAUAUAGGCAAGGCUUUGCUAGGGCCGGUUUCUGAGCAAGUUAUGGUUCUUCAAAACAUCGGAUCGUCCGUUCUCGUCUCUGAAAACCAGUUGCCUGAACUUCACCAGCUUAUGACCGAAGCUGCGAAAAUCCUGAACACGGAAGCACCCGACUUCUACAUACGGCAAAACCCUGUCCCUAAUGCUUACACCUUGGCGAUAAAUGGGAAAAGGCCGUUCGUCGUCGUCCACACGAGCCUCGUGGAGCUGCUCACUAGAAAGGAAUUGCAGGCUGUUUUGGCACAUGAGCUGGGUCACCUCAAGUGCGAUCAUGGAGUCUGGCUUACCUUUGCCAACAUACUAACAAUGGGGGCAUACACUGUCCCUGGUUUGGGUAUGGUUGCCGGGUUCCUUGAAGAACAGCUGUUCAGGUGGCUGCGAGCCGCGGAGCUGACCUGCGACAGGGCGGCUCUUCUCGUAGUACAGGACCCCAAGGUUGUCAUCUCAGUCCUGAUGAAGCUCGCGGGAGGAUGCCCGUCCCUGUCGGACCAGCUCAACGUGGACGCCUUCCUGGAGCAAGCCCGCUCCUACGACAAGGCCUCGUCGAACCCGGUCGGGUGGUACAUCCGGAACGCUCAGACGAGGGAGCUGUCGCACCCUCUGCCCGUGAUGCGAGCCCGCGAGAUGGACGAGUGGUCGCGGAGCCAGGAGUACAGGACCCUGUUGCAAAAAAUGUUUCGGUAG